GUUGUUGUUAUUGUUGCUAUUUCUACAUCAAGAAAUUUUUUUAAAAAAAGAACUAUAAAAGGAAAGGGCAGAUGGUGGGGCCAUACCUUCGGACUCCCCUGCUGGGUAAGCAGGAAGAGGGGCUGCAGAGCGUCAUACAAGUUGUUUGGAAUUGGGGUUCUUGCUUAACCUCUGAGCCUCCAUGCCUAUACAAACCGAUAAAAGUUUCCCAUGAUCUAGGAUUCCCUUUUUUUCUUCUUUUUUUCUUUUUUACAGCCACACCUGUGGCAUAUGGAAGUUCCUGGGCUAGGGGUUGAGUUGUAGCUGCAGCUGAGGCUUACGCCAGAGCCAUGGCCCCUUGCUGUCCACCCAGCACCUCCCAGGGCCUGCCAGCCCUGCCAAAGCCAAAAGAGGGUCUCUCCCAGUGGCUGGGUCCCUGCCAGUUUGGGAGAGUGAUGACCCUCCCACAAGAGGUGGGGACCAAUGGGAUGUGAGCAGAUCAGUGCCACAGGCUUUCCUCCUGCCUUUUUGGGGUGCUAGGGGUGGAGGUCAGGCAAGGCUUUCUGUUCUCUUGGAAGAAGUUUCUUAGAAGCUUGUACCCGGUCAGGUGACUUGCAGGUGGAGGGUUGAGCUGCUCCCACCUGACGGAGUUGCAGAGGCCUCAUAGUGUGGACCUGGAUCAGCUCUGGUGUGGACACUGUCAGCUCACUUUAGUGCUUCUUUCUGCCCCUGAUCCCUCUCUGCAAGUUAGGUUUGAUCAGGGGAGUUCCUGUCAUGGCGCAGCGGAAACAAAUCCGACCAGGAGCCAUGAGGAUGUGGGUUCAAUCCCUGGCCUCGCUCAGUGGGUUAAGGUUCCGGCGUUGUCAUGAGCUGUGGUGUAGGUCACAGAGGCUGCUCAGAUCUGGUGUUGCUGUGGCUAUAGUGUAGGCUGGCAGCUGUAGCUCCGAUUCAGCCCCUAGCCUGGGAACCUCCAUAUGACAUGGAUGUGGCCCUAAAAAUACAAAAAGACAAAAAAAAAUUAGGUUUGAUCAUCCAACAAUCUCAAGGGGCUGCUGUGAGAUGUAAUGAAAAGACACAACUAAUGUGCUGAGUCUAGCACCUUGUAUUAAUAUGAGAAGGAAAGUGCCACUCUGAGCUUGGGUUGAAAUGGUUUCUCUGGUGUUAACUGAAACUGACGGCUUGCUUUGUGCAGAUGUCCUAGGAGGUGGGUGGCAGGCUUUUGCUUUCCUUCACUCUCUCUGGCCUCCAGCAAGGGGUGUGUGUGUGUGUGUGUGUGUGUGUGUGUGUGGCCUCCAGCAAGGGGUGUGUGUGUGUGUGUGUGUGUGUGUGUGUGUGUGUGUCCACACCCAAAAGCCAAUGCAAGAAGAAUUUUGUCACACCCAGGAUGAGCCACCAAUUUAUGAUGCCUCUGUCCUUAGUCCCAGAUGGCUUUGCAUCUGUAUGAUUUAGGGAUUAAGUAGUAAAUACACCCACUGAGACAGAGACACAGAGAAAAACUACCCCAAAAUGCUAAGAGGCGGGCAUCCCACAGGGGGAAAGAGGGCAAUUACAUUAAUUGGGUCCCAGGUGCUCUGCAAACAUUGCUUCAUUUACUCUUCAUAAGAACCCUAGGAGUUCCUGUGGUUAAAGACCAGUGGGUUAAGGACCUGUCUCUGUGAGGAUGCAAGUUUGUUCCCUGGCCUCACUCACUGGGUUGAGGAUCUGGCAUUGCCACAAGUCACAGUUUUGUUUUGUUUUGUUUUUCCUUUUUGUCUUUUUAGGGCCUUGCCCAUGGCAUAUGGAGGUUCCCAGGUUAGAGGUUGAAUCUGAGCUAUAGCUGCCAGCCUACACCAGAGCCACAGCAACUGGGAAUCUGAGUCGAGGCCGCAUCUGUGACCUACACCACAGCUCACAGAAACGCUGGAUCCUUAACCCACUGAGCAGGGCCAGGAAUUGAACCUGUGUCCUCAUGGAUGCUAGUCAGGUUUGUUAACCACUGAGCCACGACGGGAACUCCUCCACAAGCCACAGUUUUGAUCACAGAUGCAGCUCCGAUCUGGUGUGGCUGUGGUUUAGGCCACAGCUGCAGCUCCGAUUUCACCCCUAGCCUGGGAACUUCCAUGCAGCUGUUAAAAAAGAAAAAAAAAAAAAAAUCCUACAUCAUAGAUAGCUUUUAUCAAUUUAUAGAAAUGGGGGCUCAGAGGUUCAGCAAGAACCUGAAUUUCACAGACUUUGUAACUGGGGGAGUCAGGAUUCACACCCAUGACUGACUCUGCAGCCACCAUCCAGCUCUAUCAGGGUGUUCUUUACCAUCACUCUGCCCCCCGUGUCUGUGGCAGAGGCCACAUGCUGAUUGUGACACUCUGGCUGUGACAUUCUUUCUCACCAAUGCUCUUCCACACAUAGCCGGCCACUCUGGACCUGCAGGGCGAGCAGGCAAACCAAACCUGUUGGCCCUCUUGGCACCAUUCAAACUGCCUUCCCAUUGGUCAUUAUGGGCUUUUUGUGCCAACUCAGGUGUGUCCUGGGGGCCAGCUCCCCCUACAGAAUGCUGAUGCUGGGCUCAGAUAGGCAGUGCCAGGUGUAUGACGGGCUUCCUCGGAAGGUUUAUCAUUUGAUGUGGGGCAUUGUUUUUCACGAGUCAAACAUUUGAAUCAAUCAUUUCGCUUCCCUCUGUUAAAUGUUCGUACCUCUGGGAUAGGUGACAUCCAUACUUCAUUGCAAAUUUACUUUCUGGAUCACUUUUCUAUUUUAUUUUUUACCAUGCCCGUGACAUGCAGAAGCUCCUGGGCCAGGGAUUAAACCCUCACCACAGCAGUGACUGGAGCCACAGCAAAGACAAUGACAGGUCCUUAACCUGCCGUGCCACCAGAGAACUCCCUGGAUCCCCUUUUUUCUUUGUCCAGAAGGAUAGGCUAGAUUUUUCCAGUUGUCUGGGGAUGUUGCCUGAAAUGCAAAGCCUAUAACAAUAGAUGAUCUCCAAUUCCUCCCCCCACAACCCCCCCAUCCACUCUCACCUCCACCAACACAUGUGCAUUUUAGAGAGAUACAAGACCAUCCAAACCGGUCCUGUGACUUCUGGUCUUGGCACAUCACCCACCUCCAGCCCAGAUCUAAGAAAAGUCUAAAGAUGCUCAGAGAGCUGAGGAUUUCUUUAAUGAGAAAGAAUGUGCAAGCUGCCCUGUGUAGCUUCACAAAACUUUCUUGGGCACAAAACAAAUACACUUCCAAUAUUUGUUAGGCCAGGGCUGGAAAGUUUCCUUGGGGUCCAACAUCACCUGACUGAUGCCUUGGGAGGUAGCUAGGCUUGAGGGUCUUGAAAGCGCCCUAGCCAUGGUUCCUACCUGCCUGGAAGGGGAGACCCCAGAAAAAGGUGCCUCUGAGGGUUGAACUUUCAAGCAGGAGCUAAGGAAUGUUUGUGGAGUUAGUUGGAGAGGGCAUCCCCCAUAUCGCCUGGAUCAGAGGAUGGGGCGAUGCUGCAGAUCCCCAGCAAAGGGUCUUCAAGAACCCACGAGAGACCCCCUUGAGGAAUAGGGGAAAAGCCUGCCUGUAGACAGUUGAUAGAUAACAGUCCCCUAAAGAUGUCCAUAUUCCUAAUCUCCAGACUCUGUGACUAUCUUGCCUUAAUGACAAACAAACAAACACCCCCCCCCAACAAAAUAAAACAGAAACCCUUUGCAGAUGUGAUUAAGGAUCUUGAGAUGAGGAGAUGGGCCUAGAUUACCCAGGCAGCCCAAUGUAAAAACAAGAGUCAUUUAAAAAGAGACAAAGAGUUCCCGUCAUGGCGCAGCAG
rnacentral:lncRNA from 1 species